AGUGAACGCUGGCGGUAGGCCUAACACAUGCAAGUCGAACGGCAGCACAGUAAGAGCUUGCUCUUACGGGUGGCGAGUGGCGGACGGGUGAGGAAUACAUCGGAAUCUACUUUUUCGUGGGGGAUAACGUAGGGAAACUUACGCUAAUACCGCAUACGACCUACGGGUGAAAGCAGGGGAUCUUCGGACCUUGCGCGAUUGAAUGAGCCGAUGUCGGAUUAGCUAGUUGGCGGGGUAAAGGCCCACCAAGGCGACGAUCCGUAGCUGGUCUGAGAGGAUGAUCAGCCACACUGGAACUGAGACACGGUCCAGACUCCUACGGGAGGCAGCAGAGGGGAAUAUUGGACAAUGGGCGAAAGCCUGAUCCAGAAAUACCGCGUGGGUGAAGAAGGCCUUCGGGUUGUAAAGCCCUUUUGUUGGGAAAGAAAAGCAGCAGGUUAAUACCCCGCUGUUCUGACGGUACCCAAAGAAUAAGCACCGGCUAACUUCGUG
rnacentral:rRNA from 1 species